rnacentral:rRNA from 1 species
UACGUAGGGACCAAGCGUUGUUCGGAUUUACUGGGCGUAAAGGGCGCGUAGGCGGCUUAACAAGUCACUUGUGAAAUCUCCGGGCUUAACUCGGAACGGCCAAGUGAAACUGUCAAGCUAGAGUGCGGAAGGGGCAAUCGGAAUUCUUGGUGUAGCGGUGAAAUGCGUAGAUAUCAAGAGGAACACCUGAGGUGAAGACGGGUUGCUGGGCCGACACUGACGCUGAUGCGCGAAAGCCAGGGGAGCAAACAGG